AAUGUCUCAGUAUAUUAAUGUUGCAACUUGUUUAUUUUGUUUUUAGGAGUAUGAAUUAGAUGGAAUUGAUUGGACAAAAGUAGAUUUUGAAGACAACCAAGAGUGUUUGGAUCUCUUUGAGAAGUGCACAUCAUCCAAUAGUGAUUUCCCUAUAAGCCAUGCUAGUCAACUUUCAAAUCCGUUCCUUAGUUUGCCGCUUGAAUUUGGAAAAUGUGAAUCAUGUGGUGCUGCGGAACCCGGGACAUGCGAAGGUCACUUUGGGUAUAUAGAAUUACCAAUUCCAGUAAAUCAUCCUUCCCAUGUGAGCGAACUAAAGCGGUUGUUGAGCCUGGUUUGCUUUAAGUGCUUGAAGUUGAGAAGUGGGAAGGUAAUGGAUAUGUUUAUAGAAGGCUCCACGUAAAAUCUAUUUGUCAUAAGUAAUUAAAUCCUUUUGCUUUCUUGAUUGAGAGGGUAGCAGAUUAUUGUGUUGUGUUAUGGAAAGUAUAAGUUUCUGCCACUGCAUCCUCAGAAGUCAUGCUCUGCCACUAAUAUUAACUUCAAUACUGUUUACUCCUCUUAGGACUGCCAACAUUGCUUUAUACUUGUCUUUAUAAGUUUCUAUUACUUUUUUGGGGUUUAUUAGUUUGCAUGCUUCUAUUACACUUCGUGCCAUAUCCACUGGAGCUUGUUGCACAGAAUCCUGCUUUCUUUGUGUCUUUUCAUUGCUCCUUGAUAUUUGAUUUCCUCUCUUAUGUGGUGAAACAUAAUGUCACUAAGAUAUAUGCCUAUGCUAGUUGCUCAUACUAUUGUUUUGUGCUUGGACCAGUUUAUGCAGAUGGAAGUAUUUGUCUGGAUAUUCUACAAAAUCAGUGGAGUCCAAUAUAUGAUAUAGCUGCUAUACUGACAUCUAUCCAGGUAUGAUGGAGUGUAUAUAUGGUUCAAAAAUAUCUAUUGCUAGGAAUGGUCAGAUGAUAUUGCUCGUAGUAAAAAAUCACCCUUUGAUUUUGAUUUAAAGAUACUAGUUUCGAAUGAUUAGUGAAAUGGUAAACUGAAGCUGUUACAGUUAAUUUGCUUGAAAAAGAGUUAUUC